UUCUCAGCGGGCAGCUCAAGCCCCACCAAUAUGGGACAUAAGUGCACCCACAGAUAAAAGACCAGAAGUGGCACUGACAAGUAUUGCUGAAAAAGAAGCUGAUCUUAGUAAACCUCCGCCAAUGCCUCCUUUUUU
rnacentral:ribozyme from 1 species